ensembl:lncRNA
CACGGUUACAAGAGGAUACUUUAUCGACUCAACGGGUGACUUUUAAUUUGCCUACUAUUAACAAAGUGAUGGUAUUUUGCCUUAAACAUGGAAAUGUUUAAUUACCCAGUGUUCUUCGAGCUGGACAAUUUUGAUCCAGUACAAAAAGAAAAGACAGAAAAGUACUUUAAGGUUCGUCGGAAGUCUGGUGGUGGAGACUGCAGCUCUAUAAACCAAGUUCGUGAUAACGUUUACAAGAUUGCAUUUAAAGACCGGGCAGCCCAGGAGAGAGUACUUCAGAAAGCCCAUCAUGUGUUGGAGCUACCUGGGGGAACUCGCUCUCUCAAAGUAAGAGGCAGCCUGGAUCCUUCAACCACAACACACUGCUCUGACAUCGGACAGUUGGCAUCACCACCUGAUGGCCCAGAGCAUGAACUUCAUCUAGAUUCUUACCUCCUGCGCUACCUAAAGGAGAGCCCUGGGGCUGGACGAGACCUUCAGCAAAAGCUGUCCUCUUUGCGCUGCUCUGUCCAGCUCCUUUCAGAGGAGGGGAGAGCAGUAGUUAGAGGCUCAGGCCAAGCUGAGUCAUGCAGAGCUGGGGUUGAGGAUGGUAUUGAGCUGGGACGAUGGAAGUUAGAGGUAGAGAAACUGUUUGAACAGCUCGUGGACCGGUACAAAUGCCACUAUGAAGUAGACCCACGUAAGGUCCACACUCUGCUGCAGAGCAGUACCCUGGGUUCAGAGGAUGUGAGGAUGUACGGGGAGGGGGGAGAAGGGUUUGUUGUGGUGGUUGGGGAGGGUUCUGAGGUUCAGGCCAAGCUGAAGGAGAUUGAGGCCAACCUGGUUCAGCAUCUGAGCUCAACAAAGCAGGCAAAGAUCAGAACCGUAUGUCGACUGGGACAGGCUAAGCUCCGCCUUCUUGGGGAAGUGAUAGAGAAGGAGUUAGGUGAGUUUGUGCCAGGGGUGAAGGUAACACGCGGUGACUCAUCUCAGUUGGUGCUGGAGGGCUCGGCAAAUGAAGUCUGGACAGCCAGGCAGUU